AGGAGAUCACGUAUGUACUGAGGAGCAAGUCCAUGCAAAGCUUUAAGAACGAACAGCAAAAUGUUUAAUAAGGAUUUCCACAUCGAUUUAAAGUCCUUGUUAAAUUUAGCUGGUCUGCAAACUAGCGCACAUAGAAAGGAGGGAGGAAAAUCAACCUUGGAAAGCUGCACCAUUAAAACAGUUCGUAAAAAUUGUUGGUGUUCCACCUCCACGACCUACAGCUCUUGGAGAAUUAAAAAACAAACAAUCUAAAGGAGGAAGAUCCUUCAGGGCAGGAGCGUCACCAGGUCUCCCUCGCACGAAUGGCCAAUAUUUGCUCAUCAACAGAGGUAUCAGGGAGACUGGAAGUAAAAAGUUUCCCUCAUGAGCAGCGAUGAACAUAGCGUGGGUGACGAGCAAUUCCCAGUGCGACACAGGUUUUGUAAACUCCGUCUGCCAGGCACGAUGAUGAAUUCCAAUGAUAAAGCUCUGCAGAAGAGUACCGAUAAAACAUUGUAGGAAAGAUAUUGUGAAGAACAGCACAUAACAACUGUAGUUGACAUGCCAGGAAAAAAAAAUACAAAAAAUGAAAAGUCUGUAUGAAAAUAAAAAGCAGAUUUGUAUUUAAUAAUUAUAUCAUGUAGGGGAACCACAUGCACCCUAUGAUAAUGCCCUGCAAUAGACUGGUAUCUCCACUAGGAUGCAUCUUUGCCAUAUACAUUGAUAAAGCUCAACCACACCCCUGACCAGGGAAAAGAGUGAUGAAGAUUAUAAAUGAGUAAAGGGCCUAGAAUGAAUCUCUGUGUGAGUGAGUACACAGGGUAACAUAAUCACCACCACUUAAAUAAAACUGAGCCAGAGAGAGGCAGAUCCAUGUGGAGUUUCCGUGCUGAGGAGGAAAACAAUGUUGUGCGACAGGCCCUGUCAAAUGUGACAUUGUAAAGAAAUGAUUCUGAAAGCGGGAAAUGAAGGAGUUCUGUUGGGGAAUGCAGUGACUGUCAUCAGUGUCAUCAUGAUUAGGAGUUGAUGGGCGUGUCGUAGGAUCCAGCACAGCGUGAGUUAAAACUAUAGAAAUGGACCAAUCAUAAAGCCUUUAGAAACUUUCUGAGUCAUUUAAGAGGGGGCACUGUGCGUGAGG